GACGAACGCUGGCGGCGUGCUUAACACAUGCAAGUCGAACGGUGAAGUGCCUUCCUUUUUGGUGGGUGUGGAUGAGUGGCGAACGGGUGAGUAACACGUGAGUAACCUUCCCCCUUCUUCUGGAUAACCGCAUGAAAGUGUGGCUAAUACGGGAUAUUCUGGGUCUGUCGCAUGAUGGGUCUGGGAAAGAUAUUGUUUCGGUGGGGGAUGGGCUCGCGGCCUAUCAGCUUGUUGGUGAGGUGAUGGCCUACCAAGGCGGGGGUGGGUAGCCGGCUUGAGAGGGUGGCCGUACCCACAGUGAGUGAGACCCGGCCCAAACGCGUAAGGGAGGCAGAGGUGGUGAAUAUUGCACAGUGGGCGCAAGCCUGAUGCAGCGAGGCCGCGUGAGGGAUGGCGGCCUUCGGGUUGUGAACCUCUUUCGCGAGUGAAGCAGGCCUGACUCGUUUGUGGGUGGGUUGACGGAAGCUGGAUAAGAAGCGCCGGCUAACUACGU
rnacentral:rRNA from 1 species